AAUUUUUUUAAUUAUUUUUCACUCUGGUAAAAUACACAUAACCUAAAAUUUACCAUUUUACCCAUUUUUUUUUGACAGCACACACAUGCAAAUGGGGGAGGGACAGAGGGAGAGGGAGAGAGAGAAUCUUCAGCAGCCUCCAUGCCCAGCAUGUUGUGGGGCUCAAUCUCAUGACUGUGAGAUCAUGACCUGAGCUGAAAUCAAGAGUUGGAGGCUUAAGUGACUGAGCCACCCAUGCGCCACCCACCCCCGCUCUUUUUUUGAGAAAAAGAGAGAGCACAUCUUACUCAUUUUUGAGUGUACAGUGGUUUUAAGUACAAUUACAUUAUUGUGCAACCAUCAUCACCAUCCAUCUCCAGAACUCUUUUCAUCUUGCAAAACAGAAACUCAUUACUUGCUAAACACUAGCUCUCUAUUCUCUCCUCCACCCAGGCCCUGGAAACCACCAUUCCACCUUCUGUUUUCAUGAAUUUAACUACUCCAGGUACCUCAUAUAAGUGGAAUCAUACAGUAUUUGUCUUUUUGUGACUGGCUUAUGUCACUUAGCAUAAUUUAAUCAAGGUUCAUCCAUGUUGAUUAUAUCAGAAAUUCCUUCAUUUUUAAGGCUUAAUAAUAUCCCACUGUGUGUAUAUGCCACAUUUUGUUUAUCCAUUCAUCUGUUGAUGGAUAUUUAAGUUGUUUCCACCUUUUGGCUGUUGUGAAAAUGCUAUGAACAUGGAUGUACAAAUAUCUCUUUGCAGCCCUGCUUUCAUAUCUUUUAGGUGUAUAGUCAGAAGUAGAAUUACUGGUCAUAUGGUAAUUCUAUUUUUAAUUUUUGAGGAACUGGCAUACUGUUUUCCACAGCAGCUGCAUACUUUUACAUUCCCAUCAAUAGUGCACAAGAGUUGCAAUUUCUCCACAUGUUUGUCAACAUCUGUUAUUUUCUUUCCCUAUGGUAUUCAUCCUAAUGGAUGUGAGGUGGUUCUUAUUGUAAUUUUAUUUUUUUAAUUUUUAUUAAAAUUUUUUUGUUUAUUUAUUUAUUUUGAGAGAGACAGAGACAGUAGUGCACGUGGGGGAGAAGCAGAGAGAGAGGGAGAGAGAGAAUCCCAAGCAGACUCCACACUGUUGGCAUGGAGUCCAAUGCAGGGCUCAAACUCAUGAGACCAUGAGAUCAUGACCUGAGCCAAAACCAAGAGUUGGACACUUAACUGACUGAGCCACCCAAGCACUCCUCUCACUGUAAUUAAAACAAAUUUUUUUUUACAUUUAUUUGUUUUUGAGAGACAGAGAGAUACAGAGCACAAGUGGGGCAGGGGCAGAGAGAGGAGACACAGAAUCCGAAGCAGACUCCAGGCUCUGAGCUAUCAGCACAGAGCCUGAUGUGGGACUUGAACCCACAAACCGUGAGACCAUGACCUGAGCCGAAGUCGGACGCUCAACCAACUGAGCCACCCAGGCGCCCCUCACUGUAAUUUUAGAAUGAAUUUCUUUUAUUAUGAGUUUGAAUAUCUUUUCAAAUGUAUAAGAGAUAACAUUUCUUGUUCCAUGUACUGUCCAUACAUUUCUUCUACAUACUUUUGAAUCUUUGGGCUUUUUACAAGUUUUUCUUAAUUUGUAGGAGCUCUUCAAUAUUUAAAAAAUUAGUGUGAAUUGGUAACUACUUAGAAAAGUAGAGCUUUAUGACACUGAGUUGCAAAUGUGUUCAGUUGCUGAAGCACACAGUAUGUGUUCAGUAUGUGAAUCUCACACUUGCUCCCAAUUAAUCUGUCUCUUCCUUCCAAUGAUUUCAAUAGGUUACAGAGCUUGGGCAUUAUCUGUUGGGCCAGAGCUGACACCACUCAAUGGUAGAGGCUAGAGAGUUCUCUGUUUGAUUCCUGUGCACUUCCUCAUACUAAAUCACCACCAGCAUCCUAUUUGUCAUAGAAACUGAGGACUGGGAAUCCUUUGAGUCUGAACUACGAUCUACUAUAGGAAUCUCCCAUUGUUUGCAAUCCAAAAAGCAGCAUGUUUGACCUAGCCAAAGAUUUGUUUUUCCUUGAGGUGAUGUGUUGAACAGGGACACAAAAUCAAAUUAUAUUUCACUAUAAAUUUAACAAAUCGCCUUUAAUUCAAAUUAUUACAUGAAUCAGUAUGGCCCAAGAAAUCUUGGACAGAUGGUCCCUGUAAUUCAUAUAUUGGGGAGAAACACUGCAUAUGACAAGGAAAUCAAUACCAUUUUAACUUCUCUAUUUGGAAAUUCUCUCUUCCCCUGAGCGAAAACUGCCUCUCCUUAACUUCCUCUCAUUGAUACUGGUGUCACUCUCUGGAGCUAUGCAGAGAAACCUUAAUACACUUCUGCGAAAGCCCUUUAAGAAUUUGGGGGCAGAGAUUACAUCCCUCCUCAAAAUCCUGGCCCAGCAGUGAGUCUUUUUAGUAAACUUUACUAACGUUAAUUUGAAGAUUGCACACUGUCCUGGACAAUACUUUGGACAUUUUGUUUGUCAGAGACCCUUGUAAAAUAUGGUGCUAAAAUACUUGAGAUUGACAUGAUCCUCUAUACCCCAUGUGAAGAAUUUCUCUCAACUCUAGACAUGGCAUAUGUGUGAGGAUGCAGGCUUGGGUUGGGAAGCCAGUUUCUUCAAUGUUUUCAGCUCUGAAGAAGAGCAGAAACGUCACUGUUCCCUCAGGAAUAAACUCUCAACCACAACCACAAGUCAUUGCUUUCUCCAGAGGGCCUGAGAAGUAGAUACUCUUGCUUUUGAAGGGAGCAAGCAAAAAGGGGAAUGGGAGAGGAAAGAACCUAAGAAUUUACGGGGGGAUUCUCUGAGAAGAGAUUUCUGUCAGUGGUGAGCAGAAUAAGGUCUGUAGGUAGGUGAACUGACCAAAAAUCUAAUAGUAGGUUUUUGCCUCAUGUAGCUGGAGGCCCAUCGUAGAAACCAAAGCAGAGCACCUACCUUAGCACCCCACUUUCCCUUACUGUAUAUGCCUGGCUCAUCAUAGACCAUGAGUGAGAGUCAGCUGAAUGACUAUUUACACUUUUAUUCCUCACAGCCAAGUGUGAUUAUCUGCCCCCAAGUUACAGAUGAAGAAACGGAGCUGCUGAGAGGUUAAGGAACUUGCCCUAGCCACCCGGUAGUAAAUGACAGAGUUGAGGUUUAAACCCACACAGUAUCAUUGUGUUCUUUUUAACACUGAUAGAGUUCCUUUAAAAGUUCCAACCAGUUUCAGCUGUGCUGUGGGAGCAAGGAGAAAGGAUUAUGAUUCUACCCACUCUUAAGGUAGCAGGGGAGCAGCACAUCCCAAAGGCCAAGUGUGAAGGUGGCUCCUGGGAUCGGAGUGUACAUUACGGGAGAGGCAGGUGCUGUGAUGGGGGUGGGAGGAGCCAAAAGGCCCUUCCUAUCAGAAGAGUUUCUGUCCGAGCUUCUAUUCAUUCCACAAAUAUUACUUGAACACCCUUUCCGUGCCAGGCAGAGAACGUUCCUCUCCACUCCAGCCCUGAACAGGUUAUCAGCGUUCUAGUGUGGAUUUAGCUGCAGGCACAGGUUACUGUGUUUCAGCAAGUCUCACCUAGAAGAACUCUGGGGGAAAUUCAGGUAUUUGGGCAGAAAGAGGAGGGGAUAAAGAAGGUAUCUUUGGUGUCUCAGAUCUGAAGGAGCAUGUGGGAUCUAUUUCAGGCAAGAGGCUGUAUGAAGGGAGGUGGGGUGAUGGUGGUUAGCUAGAGGGUGAGACUGGGGAGUGCAGAUAUGAUGUCACAGGAAGUGAGAGAAGAAUUCAAGGUACAAGCUGGUGUCAACAAAGAAAACUGUUUCCUGUUUCACAACUUUAUCUAGAGUAUUAGCCAUGAUCAGGGUAUCAGGAAAAAUGCUAAGUUUGCUGGUGUCUAAGGAAAAUUGUUUGAUCAUUGAGACCUUCUCUCAUGUAAACAUUUAUUGAAUUUACUCAGUGACAGGCUUGUUCUACAGGUUGUGGGGGAUGUAAAGAUGUGUGGGUCUUGGUCCCUCACUCAGUACUAAAAAAAAUGAUAGGGUGUACACAUAUAACUACAAUUUAAGUUCUAGGAUCAGUGUGGAAGGUGGCAAUGCUUAUCUCCUCCUGGCACAUACAAGAGUCCUUGCUCUAAGCAAAGCAGGAGAUGAUGCUGCAGCCUCCAUGGAGGGAAGAUUAGGUCGGACUCAGUCCAGUACUCUGGGCUUGGUCCUUUGCCUUCUGUCAGUUCAUCCUGUGACUGGACAAGCCAAGCUUGCUGUACUGGCAUUGUGAGUGAAGUCCAGGAGGAUCACAAGCUGCCUGGGGCCUUGGUUUGCCUCUGGUUUGACAUGCUGCAUGAAUUACGUCUCAGAGCACCAGAAUCUGAAGCUUCUGUUUUUCUUGGAAGAUUCCAUCAUGGAAGAUGUCCCACUACCCUAAGACCACCAUGCCAAAGAGUCCAUGCAUUGAUGUUUGGGUCAACAGUCCCAGCCGAAUCCUGCCUUCCAGCCAUCUCUGCCAAGCCACAAGACAUAUGAAUAAAAUCUUGGAUUCUCUAGGGGUGCCUGGGUGGCUCAGUCAGUUAAGUGUCCAACUCUUGAUUUUGACUCAGGUCAUGAUCUCACAGUUCAUGAGAUUGAGUCCCACAUUGGGCUCUUUGCUGACAGUGUGGAACCUGCUUGGGAUUCUCUCUCUCACUCUCUCUGCCCUUCCCCUGCUCAUGCUUUCUCUCUACCUCUCAAGAUAAAUAAAUAAACUUAAAAAACUCUUGGAAGCUCUAGAUCAGAGGUUAGCAAACAUAGCCUGCAGACCUAAUCUGGCCACCAUCUAUUUUUAUAAAUAAAGUUUUAUUGGAAUGCAGUUAUACCCAUUUGUUUAA